rnacentral:lncRNA from 1 species
ACAAUUAUCAACCAGACAAUACAACUCUCGACUCCAAAUCCUAAUGAGGUUCAACAGCAAACCAACAAGACGAUAGUAGAAAACCAAGCUCGGACUUCAAUUUGUAUCUCCCUGCGACUCUAAUCCGUAUUCAAAAAUAAAAAAUGUAUAUAUGUUUCUCUUAAACUUUAAAGAAAUAACUCGACAAAAAAAGAAAACAAACUCAGAGAACCAUCAAUUUCAGAAUCCUUUCAACCUUUUCUUCUCUGAAUAUUUAGCCCAAUCCCCGAAAUCUUCCUCUUCCAAAAUAAUAACCAACUCUAUUUGAAAACGAGUCCCUUAAUGAAUGUGGAGUUCAGAUUGAACGAAAUCAAUCCAACGCCUCACACUCAUCCAUCAAUCAUUCUCAGAACCUUCCAAUUGUGAGAUAGGUCUAAAAACGAGCGAGUGAGAGGAGAGGGGAGUAUUGCGUCAGAAGCCGUUAGCAUUGGCAAGAGGAGAGAUAGAGGGACACGUGGGUUAGGGAUUGAUGCUCACUCGCCAUGGAUUUGGACGAAAUUUGGGGUUUGUUCGCGUGUUCUUCAGUGAAGAGGAACAAUGUGCGUCCGUUCUGGGUUCUUUUUU